ACGGAUCUCUUGACCUUCUCUGCGCAUCCCUCGCAAUGCAUGUUGACCUUUAAGACGACAGUGAUCGUUCCGUCGUCUUUCUUCCCCUCUCCUCCUCCUCCUUCUCCUUCCUUCUUCCCCUUCUGAGAUCAAAGUAAAGAAAAAUCGGUGCGAAAUUUAGUUAUCGAUCGCGGAUUGGUGGGAGUCGAGCUCACCUUGCCCAUGAUCGCAGCUCCCUUCUCCUCCUCCUCCUCCUCCUCUCGUUCGUUUCGCUCCCCGUGCUACAAGAAGUGGAGUGGAGUGGAG
rnacentral:lncRNA from 1 species